rnacentral:rRNA from 1 species
AUGGCCAGCGAGAUCCAUCAUGGCUCCCCUGCAGCAGCUAUUUUUCCAUAUGUAGUGGUUGCAAAAUAUCUACUAUCCCUAGUUUACCAACUAGUGCUAUCGGCCUCUGCAGCAAAACCUGAACCAUCUUCUCUUGAAUUCCUCCAGCCUAACACACCCUUGAGAUCGCCUGACUACGACAACAACAUGCAAGGGACCCUCACCAUGGGUGUCGCGGACGAGUACGUGGGCGCCAUCAUUGGCUAUGCCGAGAGGACCAUACGUGAGAUUGAACGGAGUGCAGGUUACGGGCGUGUAGAUCAGUAUCUCUAA